rnacentral:rRNA from 1 species
AGUAACGACGUGAGGAACCUGCCUUCCAGAGGGGGACGAACAGUUGGAAACGACUGCUAAUACCGCAUGAUGUGUUUCGUAUGGCAUCAUCGAGACACCAAAGAUUUAUCGCUGGAAGAUGGCCUCGCGUCUGAUUAGCUAGUAGGCGGGGUAACAGCCCACCAAGGCGACGAUCAGUAGCCGGCCUGAGAGGGUGAACGGCCACAUUGGGACUGAGACACGGCCCAAACUCCUACGGGAGGCAGCAG